rnacentral:lncRNA from 1 species
UGCCUCAUCGCGGCCGAGGCAGGCCUUUCCGAGGAGGAGACCCAAAAUGGUUUAAGCAGCGCCUGGCAAAGUGGCGGCGCUCAGAAGGCCUGCCCUCAGAGUGCAGAUCCGUCACAGACUAAGGAGAUGGCAGGCAUUGACAGCUUCACUCCAUGAAGGCCAUCUCUGUUUCUCUCCUCCGCUUAACCAAGCUGUUGUGGUUUUUCAGCAUAGUGUUGUAUGUUCCAUUGCUAGCUGUCCUGCUGUUUAACACAGUGUUGUAUUUUUUUUCUAAAUGUACAUAAUUAGAAAAGAAAAU